rnacentral:lncRNA from 1 species
GCCAAGGGAGAUAGGGCGGGGCAUCUGACCCCACCCUGCGUGGUCCAUACUGGUCCAUACUGGUUUAUACUGGUCCAUACUGGUUUAGACUGGUUUGAACUGGUUUAGACUGGUUUAUACUGGUUUAUACUGGUCCAUACUGGUCCAUACUGGUUUAUACUGGUCCAUACUGGUCCAUACUGGUUUAUACUGGUCCAUACUGGUUUAUACUGCUCCAUACUGGUUUUCCAGCCCUGGAACUGGGCCCGGAUUUGCCGUCUGGCCCCGCCCUGGCUGGUUUAUACUGGUUUAUACUGGUCUAUAAUGGGUUAUAUGGGGCUAUACUGGUUUGUACUGGUCCAUACUGGUUUAUACUGGUUUAUACUGGUUUAUACUGGUCCGUACUGGUUUUCCAGCCCUGGAACUGGGCCCGGAUCUGCCGUCUGGCCCCGCCCUGGCGCGCUGGCUGGGGGAGCCGGUGCGGGCCGUGCUGCUCCCCACCCGCCUCUUCCUCACCAACAAGAAAGGAUUCCCAGUGCUGGGCCGGGGCCACCAGCGCCUGCUGGGACAGCUGCUCAAGCUGGACGUGCAGAUCAUCGUGCAGGGAGCCCCCCGGCACGGCGGACGCCCCCUGGCCGCGUACCUGCAGUACCUGGAGCACCUGGGCCAGCACCGGCCCCCGCCCUCGGCCUACGAGCUGUACGCCCGCGGCUACGAGGAUUACCUGCAGAGCCCGCUGCAGGUGGGCUCCCAGUUCAGCCCAGUUCAGCCCAGUUCAGCCCAGUUCAGCCCAGUGACCUCCCAGUUCAAUCCCAGUUCAAUCCCAGUUCAAUCCCAGUGUGGCUACGAGGAUUACCUGCAGAGCCCGCUGCAGGUGGGCUCCCAGUUCAGCCCAGUCCAU